AGAGUGACAGGUGCUGCAUGGCUGUCGUCAGCUCGUGUCGUGAGAUGUCGGGUUAAGUCCCGCAACGAGCGCAACCCUUGUUCUUAGUUACCAGCGGGUAAUGCCGGGGACUCUAAGGAGACUGCCUUGCGUGAGCGGGAGGAAGGUGGGGAUGACGUCAAGUCCGCAUGGCCCUUAUGCCCUGGGCUGCACACGUGCUACAAUGGUCGGUACAACGGGCAGCGAAAUCGCGAGAUGGAGCAAAUCCCUAAAAGCCGGCCCCAGUUCGGAUUGGAGUCUGCAACUCGACUCCAUGAAUGCAGGAAUCGCUAGUAAUCGCGGAUCAGAAUGCCGCGGUGAAUACGUUCCCGGGCCUUGUACACACUGCCCGUCAAGCCACGAAAGCCGGUA
rnacentral:rRNA from 1 species